AACGCGGUGACGUAUCGGCGCGGGUGGGGGAGGGCAGCGCGCUUGCUCGCUCGUCCGCUCUCGUUUGUUUUGGUCCCUCCUCGGCUGCUAUCGGGCUUUUCGCGGCCCUGUCAUGGCGGAGGCCGGGGCCUCGUCCGAGAGGCUGCGCUAUGUUGAGUACAGCGGCAGGAGCCGCGCAGGCGAGCCCGACGUGGGCCGCGGGCUGGCUGGAACUAUGAUAGCAGUUGGCCUGGGUGUUGCAGCUGUUGCAUUUGCUGGUCGCUAUGCAUUUCAGCUCUGGAAACCACUGGAGCAAGUAAUCUCAGAAACAGCAAAGAAGAUUUCCACUUCUAGUCUUUCAUCCUACUAUAAAGGUGGAUUUGAACAGAAAAUGAGUAGGCGAGAAGCUAGUCUCAUUUUAGGCAUAAGUCCAUCUGCUAGCAAGGCCAAGAUUAGAACAGCUCACAGGAGAAUCAUGAUUCUGAAUCACCCUGAUAAAGGAAAAGAUUUCAACAUCUAAAGCAUCAAAAUUAAACUCACCUUGCCCCAGGGCCUGCUCCGGACCUCAGGACUCCUCUUGGGCUACAUCCAGCGACAGAAGGACAAGCAGGUGGAUCACCUUACUUAGCAGCAAAAAUAAACGAGGCCAAAGACUUGCUAGAAUCCAGCACCAAAAAUUGAUGCUCAAGGACUUCUGUGAUAGGAAAAAUGAAACCUUUUAUAUAUUCUUUUCUACAGGAAAUCCUGUGGAGAUAUUUUGGGACAACUAUCAGCCACUCAUUUUACACAAUUGUUUAACACUGGAUCAGAUGAUCUGUUAUUUAUCUUCAUAAUUAAAGAUCUAAGACUAUUUAAAAAGUGAA